rnacentral:rRNA from 1 species
GAGUGGCAGACGGGUGAGUAACACGUGGGAACGUACCCUUUGGUUCGGGACAACUCUGGGAAACUGGAGCUAAUACCGGAUACGCCCUUUUGGGGAAAGGUUUACUGCCGAAGGAUCGGCCCGCGUCUGAUUAGCUAGUUGGUGGGGUAACGGCCUACCAAGGCGACGAUCAGUAGCUGGUCUGAGAGGAUGAUCAGCCACACUGGGACUGAGACACGGCCCAGACUCCUACGGGAGGCAGCAGUGGGGAAUAUUGGACAAUGGGCGCAAGCCUGAUCCAGCCAUGCCGCGUGAGUGAUGAAGGCCUUAGGGUUGUAAAGCUCUUUUAUCCGGGACGAUAAUGACGGUACCGGAGGAAUAAGCCCCGGCUAACUUCGUGCCAGCAGCCGCGGUAAUACGAAGGGGGCUAGCGUUGCUCGGAAUCACUGGGCGUAAAGGGCGCGUAGGCGGCGGCCCAAGUCAGGCGUGAAAUCCUGGGCUCAACCUGGGGACUGCGCUUGAUACUGGGUUGCUUGAGGAUGGAAGAGGCUCGUGGAAUUCCCAGUGUAGAGGUGAAAUUCGUA